AUUCCAGCUCCAAUAGCGUAUAUUAAAGUUGUUGCGGUUAAAUAGCUCGUAGUUGGAGUUCUGCCAGGUGCCGCCUGUCCGCCCCAGUGGUGAGUACGUGGCGCGCAUUUGGCCCUUUCAAGGGGAGCGUAUUGCACUUGAUUGUGUGGUGCGGUAUCCAGGACUUUUACUUUGAGGAAAUUUGAGUGUUUCAAGCAGGCAUACGCCUUGAAAACGUUAGCAUGGAAUAAUAAGAUAGGGUCACUUCUCUAUUUUGUUGGUUUCUAGAAUCGUGACAAUGAUUAAUAGGGAUAGUCGGGGGUAUUUGUAUUCAACUGUCAGAGGUGAAAUUCUUGGAUUUGUUGAAGACAGACUACUGCGAAAGCAUUUACCAAGGAUGUUUUCAUUA
rnacentral:rRNA from 1 species